rnacentral:misc_RNA from 1 species
UGGUAUCCGGUUGUGGUACUUCCC